UCAGCUAGGUCUUUCACAAGGUGUGUAAUGUAAGGCUUAGGUCAGGGGCUAUGAAAGAAAGGAUAGGAAAUACUAAAGCUGGGGACAUACCAAAGUGUCUUCCUUGUGAAAGCAGCAAGCUCUCCUCUUGAAUUGAUCUUUGUUGUUUGUUCGUGGCAUCCAGGACCCGUGCGAUAAUGGAAGGAUUUAGAAAUUACAUCCUCUUUGAUUCUUUUUCUUUUCUUUUCUUUUUCUAAAACUUUGUUUCUUUUUUCUUUCUUUUUUUCUACAAUUCCAGCACACAUACCUCGGUACAUACCACUUUCUUGAUGUAGAGCUUGAAUUAUCUUUGUCUUCAUCACUUUGGUAUUCCCCAAACUAUAGGGUAUAGCUGUAAUGGGCUAAAUAUCUCAUAUUGAGAUAAAAGGAUAUGGGAAAACAAAUGUGAGAAAAGAAAAUGGCUAAAAAUGAUUGGCUUCGAAAUGGGGUAAUGGCACACACACAAAGGUAAGAAAUUAGGCCUUUUGGUGGUUAAGACAUGCAUAGCCUAACAUCGUCUCAAUGAGUUCAUUCAUGAAUGUUACCAAACACAUGGUAUCUGCGAAAGCGAACAAUUCUUAGCGUUCAAUCAAACAAAAAUAAUGAGAUAAUUUGAAAUGACAUUGAAGCAAAAAGAUAGGAGUACAAACACUUUAAACCCUCUCAAAGAAGUAAAUAGGCUCCAAAACACACACUAGGGUAGUCUCCACAAUUCUUCUUCCAGAAUUUGAGCAUGAUACUUUAACCACCAUGAUUC
rnacentral:lncRNA from 1 species